rnacentral:rRNA from 1 species
GACGAACGCUGGCGGCGUGCUUAACACAUGCAAGUCGAACGGAAAGGCCCUGCUUGCAGGGUACUCGAGUGGCGAACGGGUGAGUAACACGUGGGUGAUCUGCCCUGCACUUCGGGAUAAGCCUGGGAAACUGGGUCUAAUACCGGAUAGGAGCCAUUUUUAGUGUGAUGGUUGGAAAGUUUUUUCGGUGUAGGAUGAGCUCGCGGCCUAUCAGCUUGUUGGUGGGGUAAUGGCCUACCAAGGCGGCGACGGGUAGCCGGCCUGAGAGGGUGGUCGGCCACACGGUGACGGAGACACGGCCCAGAGGCAUACGGGAGGCAGGAGUAGGGAAUCUUCGGCAAUGGACGGAAGGGUGACCGAGGAACGCCGCGUGGGUGAAGAAUGGGUUCGGAUCGUAAAACUCUGUUGUUAGAGAAGAACAAGGACGUGAGGAACUGAACGUCCCCUGACGGGAUCUAACCAGAAAGCCACGGCUAACUACGUG